CUAAUACAAAUACAAGAUCUAAACAGCUGUGCUAGCUGGUCCGAACCUGUACACACUACCUUAGCUCCGCCCCUAGGCCAGAAAAAAACCCAAUAUGAUAUCUGCUGGUUACACAUGUGACUAUAUAAGGUUAAGACUGGCCCCUUGUUGACUUGUUUUGCCCAAGGGAGUAGUACAUUCAUCAGGGGUUACUUUUGGUAGAUUCAUGUGGCCAAUGACUGCCUACCUUAAUGUGAUCUUUGCCUAGGUAUUCUUUGUAUCCAAGGACUAUAUAUGGCUCUGCUGGAAGAAUGGACACAAAUGAUACUUUGAGAGUGGCAAGUGUAUGGCAUUCGAUGCACGCUAUCUCUCAGCAGCUGUCCCCAAUUCCUGGUUACGUUGCUCCGGCCUUCAACCUGAUACUUUCGAUCUGAAUUGCUUCCAAUCUCUUACUUACCUCCCACCAUAUUUAUUUUGAUGUAUUUUUCAGAAACUUAUUAAUUUGUAUUUAUGAACUUCCAUUUAGCUUU